rnacentral:rRNA from 1 species
GACGAACCGUGCGAACGUUGUUCGGAUUCACUGGGCUUAAAGGGCGCGUAGGCGGGCGGUCAAGUCAGGGGUGAAAUCUUUCGGCCUAACCGGAAAAGGGCCUCUGAUACUGGCCGUCUCGAGGGAGGUAGGGGCAUGCGGAACUUCCGGUGGAGCGGUGAAAUGACGUAGAUAUCGGAAGGAACGCCGGUGGCGAAGCG